UACGAAGGGAGCUAGCGUUGUUCGGAAUCACUGGGCGUAAAGCGCACGUAGGCGGAUUUGUCAGUCAGGGGUGAAAUCCCGGGGCUCAACCUCGGAACUGCCUUUGAUACUGGCUGUCUUGAGUUCGGGAGAGGUGAGUGGAAUGCCGAGUGUAGAGGUGAAAUUCGUAGAUAUUCGGCGGAACACCAGUGGCGAAGGCGGCUCACUGGCCCGGUACUGACGCUGAGGCGCGAAAGCGUGGGGAGCAAACAGG
rnacentral:rRNA from 1 species